UAUUAGGUUUGUGCAAAAGUAAUUGCGGUUUUUGUCAUUAAAAUUAAUGGCAAAACCGCAAUUACUUUUG
ensembl:miRNA